CGCCUGGAUGAGGGUGAAAUGGAUCUGCAGGGCCACGUCCCUGUCGUCGUCCUCGUCCGCAGCCAGCAGGCACAGUACCACGUUGUCGGGGUCACUGCGGACAGCAAGGGCAGCGCCGAGAAUUCCUCCAAAGUCAUAUUGCAAGUGCGAGUCCCUUCACGCGGCGCGCGGGCUGCUCCUGCCCCCCCCAGUGCGCGGCGCCCUGGCUCAGCGCUCGAUCCCACCCGCCCGCCGGUCGCCGAAGUCUCGGUCUGACAGUGUGGGAUGGGGAGUGAGACCGCUCCUGAGGGUGUGGAAGAGGAAAAUGGCAUGAAAGAAGACUGGAAUCUCACUAUAUAGCUUUGGCUCCCUGACUGGACUGGAACUUUCUAUGUAGUCCUAGCUAACCUUGAACUCACAGAGAUCUGCAUGCCUACUAGGGCUAACCGUGCAUGCCAUCACGCCUGGCAAAAUAAAUAUUUAAAAAAAGAUUGGCAAAUGAAUGUGUAUUUAUGUACAAAGAUUGUUUAUAUAGAUACUACUUUUUUGUCUCCUCUCCUGAACUAAAGUUAACCUACAAGUGUCUGGUCCCAGCUGUUUUGAUAAGAAUACUUCUUUUAAUUGUUGGUUUCUUUACUGGAGCUCCCUGUUCAGUUGAAAUCUCAAGGGCAGGAUUUAGUGUUCCAUCUUAAGCUCUCAGACUGGAGGAUCUACUGUAGCUGUAAGCCACUCACACUCCCUGAGCCCUGGAAGUAUGGGAUGCACGAGCUAAACUUUUAAUCUUGUUAAGUCUUAAUUUGUUUAAAUAUAAAGUGUUACUCAGCCCUUAACCAUGCUUAUAAUAAUUUGGGUAUGUGAAUCUCCUCUUCAGCCAUCCAUGCUGUGAAACCUUAAAUGUGGUUCAAUCCUAUAAGAUGAAGGUUUGUUAUGUUGGCUGAGAUUAUUGUACGUGUAAAACUACCACUGAACACCUGUAUGGAAAAGAGUUUAAAAACUCUCAAUUUGUAUAUAGGUUGUUUGUUGAAAUGGUAACAUUUCAAAUAUACUUGUUUUUUUUUAAUGUAUUAAAAAUGUAAUUUUACUUGUCUUUAUCGUUUUUUGUUGUUUGUUUUUUUGGGUAGGGUCUCUUUGUGUAGCCCUGGCUGGCCUGGAACUUGUUGUGUAGACUAGGCUGGCAUCAAACUCACAGAAAUUUGCUGACCCCUGCUUCCUGGAUGCCACGAUUAAAGGCAUGCGCCCCCAUGCCUGGCUUCCUCACUGUUCUUUUGGAGGUGGAAAAUGAUAAAUCACACAUGUAGCUGAUUCCUAUUUCUCUUGGGAAGCACUGAUCUCACAAACGGGUCACUGCAAGUGUUUGUUGAAUGAAUACAGAAACUCCAGCCUGAGUCACAGGAUUCCUGAUUUCCAUGUCCCUUCCUUCCCAUCAUUCCUUGCAGCCUCUGAUGUCGCUUGCUAGCUUCCCGAUCUUGCUGGCAUAUUCACCUGCAAGAAAGGAGCUUUGCUUGUGGGAGUUAGCUUUGAAAACUCUAGGAGGGAGGAAGAUGUGCCCGUGUUGAGGGCCUAUAAAAGGCAUGGCUUGUAGGAAAACUGAGCCUUUUUGGUGGAGCAAAGUUAGGAUGUUAAUUCUUUGCCAUUUCUGGGUGUCCAUGUAGAAAUCUCCGUUCAGCUCAUUGGAUGUGCUCAUUCUGAUCAGUGUGCAUUUCAUAAAAGGGUGGGGACUGAACUUCUGUGGUGCCUUGCUAUCCCCAAAGCAUCCACAAACUAUCCACAAACUACCUGGGCUGUGUGACUGCACAUAGAGAAGAGAGAAAUGUCACCACCCAGUCUGGGCACCAGAAGGGGUUUCCUGGGAAGAUCUGCUCUGUCUGAGCCUGCAAAAACCACACCCCAGCUUCCAGGGGCCUAGCAAGGAGCUAGCCACUGCUCUCCAGAUACAUGGAAAAAAGGAUAUAUAUUGAAAUGCUAACAGUGAGUCACCGUGGGCGAGAUUAGGUGUGGCUUUAUUUUCUUCUUUAUAUUGUAGUCUUAAAAUGUGUAAUUAUUUACUAUUUCUAAAACAAAAUUUUAGAAGAUAUUUGUGCAGGGGUACCAUUUCUGUUCCUGGAGCUAAUUUUGAGAUAUUCUUAACCCAGCUCCCCAUUCAACCUCUCUAGAUUUCCUUACAUACUCAUUUUGGCUUUGUUACAGUAGAUUCUAUCUAAAAUUUUGAGCCAGUUUGUAGCAGUUUAGGACCUACUGUGUGGGCACUUGCUUCCUGGUAUCAUGUGGAUAGAGGAUGCUCUUCCCCUCUCAAGCUAUUGGGAAGGUAUAUGAGAUGGAGUGUGGGGAGUCUGGGUUUGGGCUAGACCAUACACCAGCGGAGCUGUUCACUCUGGACUUCAUCCCCUCACAAUUCUCUGCCUUAUGUAGUGUUGUUUAAUAUAACUAUUCAGUUCUUCAAUGUUUUAUUUUAUUUAGUGUGUGUGUGUGUGUGUGUGUGUGUGUGUACAGGUGUGUACAUUCCACAGCACACCUAUGGUGGUCAGAGGAUGACUUUUGGGAGCCAGCUCUGUCCUUCGAAGCACUGUGGUUCUGGCCUCAAACUCCAGCUGUCAAGUUUGUGCACCAAGAGCCUUUAACUACUGAACCAUAUUGCCAAGCCCAUUUCUUUUCUUUUUAAAAAGAAUUUCAUUGUGUAUGUUUAUGGUACACGGCACUGUGUUAUAUAGGAUGCUCUCACACAAGUAUACAUGCUACACUUGAGUGUACUUCCCUCCUGUCGUCCCCCCGCCCCGCCCCGCCCCAUUUCUGGUCCAUACCCUUCAUUGGUCUCUUUUGUUCCUCUGGAUGACCCUACUUCUCCUUUCAUUGUUGGGCCCUGGUCCCCGUUCCUUGGGUAGCUGUUGCCUUACUUGCUGACCUUGAUCAGAUGUCCUCCCUAUGCUGAUUUCCUGCCGGUUUCCUUCCUCCUAAAACAGCUUACUGGAGGUUCCUUGUUUGUGUACCCUGCAUUUGGUGUAAACAGCUAGGAUGCACGAAUGUAAAACAUCUGUAGCGAACUUCUGCCCUCCGGGGUUCUCCCACUGUGCUGUAAGCCUGUAUUUAAGGUUUUCUCCCUCCUUCAAUAAAUGGCAUUUGUCAUUCUACUGAGAUGAACAACCUGCUGUCUUGUCUCUGUUUUAAAUCCUCAGCCCCUCGCUCAAACAUGGUGAACGGGUGGUAGCGCGGCACUAC